UGGACAAUGUUUCAUGGAUGUUACCUGAGAUGUCUUCCACAACAGCCAUACCACAUAACCCACUGGAUAUCUGAGUGAAGGUUAGAGGCGUCUGGAUGAAGUCUUAGACCCGAAAUAUCCAGCAUUACUUUGUUGAUGGAGUAAUUGGUUGAUGAAACUGGAUUUCCAGGGGAUUUCCCGAACGGUAAUGCUUGCUAACGGAAGGGGAAUUUCUUAAGCAAAAAAUAAACUUUGCGGGUAUUUUCGGAUUGCAACAGCAGGAGGUCGUAUUACGUAUCAAACAAAAGUAAGCGACACAUUGAUGGUUCCAGGGUGGGCGGAACUAACACUGAGUUGAUCGAGAUGUUCAAGAAGCUCUCCACCUAUUUAAUAUAUAAUGGGGGCGCAGUGUUGUUGCAUCCAGAUACGUCAUUCCAAGGAAAACCUGAGAUAUAAACCAAGACAGUAAAUCUUAACCAACACAGCAUCGUAUUUAACUGUAUAACUACACAGAGAACAUACGGAUACUAAAAUGUAUGCUAUUGUGGUGGUAAGACCGAUACUAGUUUCAUGUUUGUUGUGGCAAUUGCGUUAGACAAAGGGACGUGUAUAUAUAACUACCUGAUCAAAGGGAAGUAUUUGAAUACACGCUUUUGUUUCA